rnacentral:rRNA from 1 species
UACGGGGGGAGCAAGUGUUGUUCGGAUUUACUGGGCGUAAAGGGCGCGUAGGCGGCCAGCACAAGUCAGUUGUGAAAUCUCCGAGCUUAACUCGGAACGGUCAACUGAUACUGUGCGGCUAGAGUGCGGAAGGGGCAACUGAAAUUCUUGGUGUAGCGGUGAAAUGCGUAGAUAUCAAGAGGAACACCUGCGGCGAAGGCGGGUUGCUGGGCCGACACUGACGCUGAUGCGCGAAAGCCAGGGGAGCGAACGGG